AUCGCUUCUCGGCCUUUUUGGCUAAGAUCAAGUGGUAGUAUCUGUUCUUAAUCAGUUUUAAUAUCUGAUAUGUCCUCCAUGUGAGGACUACGUAUUAAACGCAUUUUUAGCACUGGGAGCUGAACGAGGGGCUUGCUCCUUUCACUCCACGCAUCGACCCGGCAUUGCAGUGCCGCCGGAAACGGUGCACCCUUC